rnacentral:rRNA from 1 species
GAGCGGCGAACGGGUGAGUAAUACGUUGGGAUCUGCCCCGAACUCGGGGAUAACACCUAGAAAUAGGUGCUAAUACCGGAUAGUCCCGCAAGGGUAAAGCUUUUGCGGUUCGGGAGGAACCUGCGUCCUAUCAGCUUGUUGGUGAGGUAAUGGCUUACCAAGGCUAUGACGGGUAGCUGGUCUGAGAGGAUGAUCAGCCACAAUGGGACUGAGACACGGCCCAUACUCCUACGGGAGGCAGCAGUAAGGAAUCUUUCGCAAUGGGGGAAACCCUGACGAAGCGACAUCGCGUGAUUGAUGAAGGCCGUAAGGUCGUAAAGAUCUUUUCUGAGGGAAUAAUUCUGAAGGUACCUCAGGAAUAAGCACCGGCUAACUCCGUGCCAGCAGCCGCGGUAAUACGGAGGGUGCAAGCGUUAUCCGGAAUCGUUGGGCGUAAAGCGUCCGCAGGUUGUUUGUUAAGUUGGAUAUUAAAUCUUGAAGCCCAACUUCAAGGCUGUGUCCAAAACUGGCAAGCUAGAACAUCUCAGAGGUACAUGGAAUUCUGUGUGUAGGGGUAAAAUCCGUAGAUACACAGAGGAACACCAAAAGCGAAGGCAAUGUACUGGGAGAUUGUUGACACUCAUGGACGAAAGCGUGGGGAGCGAACGGGAUUAGAUACCCCGGUAGUCCACGCCUUAAACUAUGAAUACUCGGUGUUGGAGGGCUCGACCCCUUCAGUGCCUAAGUUAACACUAUAAGUAUUCCGCCUGGGGAGUACGGUCGCAAGACUAAAACUCAAAGGAAUAGACGGGGACCCACACAAGCGGUGGAGCAUCUGGUUCAAUUCGAUAGUAAGCGAGGAACCUUACCCAGGCUUGACAUCCCGAGAAUCUUUCCGAAAGGAGAGAGUGCCGUCAGGAACUCGGUGACAGGUGCUGCAUGGUUGUCGUCAGCUCGUGCCUUGAGGUGUUCGGUUAAGUCCGUAAACGAGCGCAACCCAUGUCGUGUGUUGUUUUUCACAUGAGACUGCCGAUUCAAAGUCGGAGGAAGGUAUGGAUGACGUCAAAUCAGCAUGGCCCUUAUGCCUGGGGCUACACAGGUGCUACAAUGGUUGGUACAGCGAGUAGCAAUAUCGUAAGAUGGAGCCAAUCUCUAAAGCCAAUCUAAGUUCGGAUUGAGGGCUGCAACUCGCCCUCAUGAAGCUGGAAUCGCUAGUAACCGUGGAUCAGCAAUGGCACGGUGAAUAUGUUCCUGGGUCUUGUACUCACCGCCCGUCACACUAUGAAAGGUAGGGGCACCCGAAGCACCCUUAGCUAUUUAGCGGGGUUCUAAGGUGAAACUACUGAUUGGAGUGAAGUCGUAACAAGGUA